GGCAGAGGAGGAGGUGGAGGAGGAGGAGCAGGUGGAGGUGGUGGUGGAGGUCGAGGUGAGGGUGUUGGAAAUGGGCAUGGGUCUGGAUACGGAAGUGGAUCUGGUUAUGGGUCAGGAUCCGGCGACGGAGGGGAAGAUUCACCAUGAGGCAUAAUCAAGUACGAGUACUACUACUUAAUAACGGCAUCAUUCACCCUGUAAAUUUCAAAUAAAUUUGCCUUGAUCUCGGUAAGACAAAUAAAAAGUUGCCUUCUCCAUGUAAAAUGGUAUAAUGUAAUACCUCCUAAUGAUGAAAUAUCAAACAUGGUUUUUUAGUAUUAA
rnacentral:lncRNA from 1 species